GGCCAAAUUGAGCCCAAGUUAGCAGCCCAAUUAACUAGACCCAAAGUAGCCAAAUAUGGAGCCCAUUUCAUCAGGUCCAAUCCGCAACCCAUUACCCAUUUCAACGACCCGGCCCAUAUCUAUUCUAUCUAAACCCUACUCUUCAGCCGCACAACUCCUCUCUCUCUCAUCUCUUUCCUCUUCCAAACAAAACCAGCCUUUCACAGCCAUGGCAGGGGCUGGACCAUUCCAUUUCCAUGCAACUUUCGAAUAUAGUCAACAUAAGAGGCCAACAAAUUUUUAUAAUUCUGAUUUUUCUACACAAGAAAAUCGAAAAGCAGAGAUUGAAUCGCAACUCGUGACAUCCCUCCCUUCACCCUCAAAUGGCUAUUUCUUUCCUCUCUAGUGUAAAAUCCUUCUUUUCUCCUCUGAACUCUGACCACAAAAGAAAGCUUUACCAAUUUUGUUCGAAUCCGUGACACCUCUUUUGACGUUUUUUCGAAUUUGAAAUUUAAAAAUCCAAAACUCUAACCUUUGUCUCCUAUAAAAUGCUACAUUAUAUCUUCAGCAAAGGAGACGUUUUUGAACGACUUGGGAACUUUACCACGCUUAACAUUUCUAUAUUUCCCCAACUACUCUAAAUCUUAGAUUUGUUUAAAUUCCAUUCUGUUUCGGCAGAUCUUAGCCACAAUAGAAAUCGUCGAACUCAUUUUGUGUCGAGGAUCGGAUUUUUUCAUAGGAGAGAGUAGAUUUGAGACCUCGACGUCCUAGUUCGCUGCACCCGCAAGAGAGCCGAAGAGUUUCACUUGAGACUCAAUGACGCCGACGUCACAAGGAGUCUUAGUACAGGAUUCCAUAUCUUUGCCAAACCAAGAGUCUGCCUCUACAAUCUUCUGUCACCGACAUCCCUCACUCUCUCUCUCUCUCGAAACAGAAAACAAAAAAAGGGACAAAACGAACAGUGAACAUCACGUAACAUUUUGUUUUCAUUCCUCUGAUUCUCAUACUCUAUUCAUGUGGUUUUUCUGGUUUGUUUGGAUGAUUGUUGGCUAUGGUUUUAAACCUCGUAGUGAGAAUAUUUUACCCGGAACUUCCCCUUA